CCUACGGGUGGCUGCAGUGGGGAAUAUUGCACAAUGGGCGCAAGCCUGAUGCAGCCAUGCCGCGUGUGUGAAGAAGGCCUUCGGGUUGUAAAGCACUUUCAGCGGGGAGGAAGGCGGUGAGGUUAAUAACCUCAUCGAUUGACGUUACCCGCAGAAGAAGCACCGGCUAACUCCGUGCCAGCAGCCGCGGUAAUACGGAGGGUGCAAGCGUUAAUCGGAAUUACUGGGCGUAAAGCGCACGCAGGCGGUCUGUCAAGUCGGAUGUGAAAUCCCCGGGCUCAACCUGGGAACUGCAUUCGAAACUGGCAGGCUAGAGUCUUGUAGAGGGGGGUAGAAUUCCAGGUGUAGCGGUGAAAUGCGUAGAGAUCUGGAGGAAUACCGGUGGCGAAGGCGACCCCCUGGACAAAGACUGACGCUCAGGUGCGAAAGCGUGGGGAGCGAACAGGAUUAGAUACCCGUGUAGUC
rnacentral:rRNA from 1 species